GGGGAAUUUUCCGCAAUGGGCGCAAGCCUGACGGAGCAACGCCGCGUGAGGGAGGAAUGUCUGUGGAUUGUAAACCUCUUUUCUCUGUGAAGAAGAUCUGACGGUAGCAGAGGAAUCANCAUCGGCUAACUCCGUGCCAGCANCCGCGGUAAGACGGAGGAUGCAAGCGUUAUCCGGAAUUAUUGGGCGUAAAGCGUCCGUAGGCGGUUAGUUAAGUCAGUUGUUAAAGACCGCAGCUCANCUGUGGGAGAGCAACUGAAACUGAUUGACUAGAGUAUGGUAGGGGUAGAGGGAAUUCCUAGUGUAGCGGUGAAAUGCGUANAUAUUAGGAAGAACACCAGUGGCGAAGGCGCUCUACUGGNCCAUAACUGACNCUGAUGGGCGAAAUCUAGGGNAGCGAAAGGGAUUAGAUACCCCUGU
rnacentral:rRNA from 1 species